GUCGAUUGGACAUGGGCAGUCGUAUUCAUACCUCUAUGGGUGGUCCUUUCCCUUGCCGCUGUCGGUGUUCUCUACGCUCUUGUGCUCUCCGUUGUGCUCAUCAGAUCUCGUCAUUUCAUUCCGGCUCACCGUCGCCAACACGUUUAUUCUGCGAUUUUACACACGUUUUUCG
rnacentral:sRNA from 1 species